GACAGAGGGUGCAAACGUUGUUCGGAAUUACUGGGCGUAAAGCGCGUGUAGGCGGCUUGGCAAGUCGGGUGUGAAAGCCCCGGGCUCAACCUGGGAAGUGCACUCGAAACUGCUUGGCUUGAGUACUGGAGAGGGAAGCGGAAUUCUCGGUGUAGAGGUGAAAUUCGUAGAUAUCGAGAGGAACACCGGUGGCGAAGGCGGCUUCCUGGACAGUUACUGACGCUGAGGCGCGAAAGCCAGGGGAGCAAACGGG
rnacentral:rRNA from 1 species